CUCAAUCCUACAAAAGUUAACGUGCGUGUGUGUGCGUGUGCGUGCGCGUGUGCGUGCGCGUGUGCGUGCGCGUGUGCGUGCGCGUGUGUGUGUAUGUGUGUGUGUGAAAUAGCAAUGGAAGUUCAAAUACCUUUUUAAAAAGGAUUGAUCAUAAUUUAUUGCUUUUGUUUAAAUAGAUUCAUUCAUUAUUUUAGAUUCAAAGAAAGAUCGAUCGCUUUCAGAAUCAGCAGAGCAUCGAAUGUAACAAAAAAAAAACCCCUUGUCAUUAAGCCACCUUUAUAUUCUAAAGUUGUAUCGUUCCGAAUUUGAAAUUCCUUUUCAAUCUUCGUUCUUCCAAGGCCGUUAAACACAGACGUUAAGUAUUUCCACCAAUAUCCCAUCACCAAGAUUUGUGGCCAAGCGUUUAUCUUAAUCCUUUAGCAUUCGGCUUAUUCUGUCAAAAGUAAUACCUAUUUAUUCACACCAUUUUCAAUUAAUGAUACAUCACCUUGCAGCUUUAAGAUGUGAUUGCUUAUUUUUACAAGGACAUUGUAGUGUAAGUGUGAGAGGUUAGAUCUGGCUGGUUUGAGCAUAAAACAGGUAGAAUAUUUUAGCCAGAUAUGGCCGGUUUGAAUACUAAAGGGUUAAACAUAAUUAAUGUUUUCUACUCAAGAACGAUGGAUCGUUGGAAUCGAAAGAGCAUGGAACAGUAAGAUUCCGGUAUUACGUUAUUUUAACGCUCUAGGUUGGAGACAAGCCAAGGUCAACUUUUCUUUUCAGCCUUCUGCGGUUGAAAAAGAAAACAAGAUUCAGCCCUGUGUUGCUGAAGCAGAAAUAUUCUUUUCUACUCUAGGCACAAGGCCUGAAACUUUGGGAGAGGGUGCCAGUCGAUUAGAUCGACUCCCGUGCGUAACUGGUACUUGAUUUAUCGACCCCGAAAGGAUGAAAGGCAAAGUCGACCUCGGCGGAAUUUGAACUCAGAGCGUAAAGACACACGAAAUACCGCUUGCUUAACGUUUCUGCCAGCUCGCCGCCUAGCUGGUUGGUUGGUUGGUAGACGCUUCUCUGACAACAGAACAGCUUCUUCGUUAUCUAUGGGAUAGAAGAUUUGUUAACCGGGUGCACAUCAUUUUGUUAUUAUUAUUAUUAUUAUUUUAAAUGCGUUUCAGCAAGCUAGUGUGGUUGAUGUAUGGAGUAAAUUCACACAAGAUAGGGAGAGAUUAUUUUAACGUUGCAGAUGGGUCGCCACAAAGAAGCUUUAUUUGGUUAACAAACUGAUACUUUACUGACAAUGUGCUUAUUUCUCGAGUCAAGAAACUCAAGAUUAAAUGUUUAUAUUUUCUCAUGA